rnacentral:rRNA from 1 species
UACGUAGGGUGCAAGCGUUGUCCGGAAUUAUUGGGCGUAAAGAGCUCGUAGGCGGUCUGUCGCGUCUGCUGUGAAAACUCGGGGCUUAACCCCGGGCCUGCAGUGGGUACGGGCAGACUAGAGUGCGGUAGGGGAGACUGGAAUUCCUGGUGUAGCGGUGAAAUGCGCAGAUAUCGAGAGGAACACCUGCGGCGAAGGCGGGUAGCUGGGCCGACACUGACGCUGAGGCGCGAAAGCCAGGGAGCGAACGGG